rnacentral:tRNA from 1 species
GCCGAAGUGGUGGAACUGGCAGACACGUACGACUCAAAAUCGUAUGGGCUUAGCCCAUGAGGGUUCGAUUCCCUCCUUCGGCACCA